CAAUGUCUCAUAUUUAUAUAGAGCUGACUGUCUAAAUAAUUUGAAGUUCCAAGUUUAGGUGCAUUUUAUGACACACAGAGGAGUAAGAAGCCAUUUCCAGGUCUGGAGUCUGAGGAAACUGAGAAGACGUAUGGAAUGUUAAUAAAGAAAGGGGACCAUAUACUGGUAAAUUUUUCCAAGGACUCAGAGCACAUCUUCUGGAGAAACUUCUUGUCCUUUGGGCCCAUGAACCAAAUAUGCUUACCAGACCCUUAUUGGUCAAAAGACUUCCACAAGAUGGCUGUGCAGGAAGAUCCUGAACUUACCUCCUCCCAUGGACAGACCAGAUCUACAGCUCCAGGUGGAUCAUGUCCCUCUAAAAGAGAUCUGAAAACUGCUUCUCCACAACAAACAUAAAGACCAUAUUGAGAUGAUAGGGUCCUGGCACAUCAUCAACAAUAAGGAUGUAUGAAGAUCAAUCAGGCAGUUUAGAUAAUCACAAAGGUUUGAGAGACAACCAAAAACUAAGGCAAGGUUGAAUAAGUGUCAUUACCUAUACAAAGCCAUUCCUUCAAGACAGAGAAGUAGCUGUUUCACCUAAUAUAUAGAAACAGACAUAAAAAGUCAAACAAAAAUGAUAAAACAGAGAAAUGUAUUCCAAGUGAAAGAACAAGACAAAACUUAAGAAAAAGACCUUAAUGAUAUGGAGAUAAGUAAUCUGCCUGUAAAGAAUUCAAAGAAAUUGUCAAAAAGAUGCUCAUCAAACUCAGGAGAACCUCGACCAAGAGAUAGAAAACAUAAAUACCAAACAAACAUCACGAUGCUGAGAAUACAAUCACUGAAUUGAAAAAUACACAAGAGGAGUUCAACAGCAGACUAGAUGAAGCAGAGAAUAGAUCAGUGGGCUGGAAGACAAAGCAAUGGAACUCACCUAGACAGAGCAGCAAAAAAAAAAAAAAAGUAAGUUUAAAAUAUGAAAAUAACUUAAGGGACAUUUGGAAUAACAUCAAGUGGAAUAACAUUCACAUUAUAGGGAUCCUACGAGGAGAAGAGGGAGAGGAAUGGACCGAAAACUUAUUUGAAGAAAUAAGUCAGGCUGAAACUUGCCUGAUCUAGGGAAAACAUAGACAUCCAGGUCCCAGAAGCCCAGAGAGCUCCAAGUAAGAUGAACCCAAAGAAAGCUACACCAAGACACACUGUAAUGGAAAUGUAAAAAGAUGAAGAUAAGGAGAGAAUCUUAAAAGAAGUAAGAGAAAAACAAAUUGUUACAUA